rnacentral:misc_RNA from 1 species
GAAUUCCGGUCGACUCCGGAGAAACAAAGUCAA